CAAACUCACACACACAACACCCAAAACACACACUAUAUUCAACGUUAAUACCAUUUAAGCUUUUGACCUCCGAUUUGAGCACCGAGACGAGCGCCGAUCAUCUUUUCGAUCACGUAUCUAAGUAGGUCCUUUUGGGAAGUAACGACUUGAGGGAGAGAGUGACGUUACUCAUUGAUACAGAGACACAACGAGGUUGAGCUGAUGUGAUGAUGGUGCUGCAAUGAGCGGAGUCUCCAGGGUUGUUAAUAAAUAGUUAACCUGUCUAGAAUAUGUCUUCAUACAUAUGUCUAGCUACUUUCCGCUGCAAGAUGUUGUUGAUGUUAUAUUAUGUUAUGUC